AUUGUAUAUUUCAUUGUUAUGCCUUAUAUUUUAUUUUUGCUGUUCGGAACUGGCAUAUACCAGUAGUAGUGGUGUUUUUGUAACAAAUAAAACAGGUGAUAAGAAUCCAAAUGGGGAACAAGGACCAGCUACGUUAACAACAAACCGAAAUCAACAAGAAGUAAAUAUUGACGAAACUAAUAUAUCAGACAAAAAUUCAAGUAAAAUGAUGAGAAAAAAAAGAGAAACAGAAAAUGCACUCGAUAAAGAAUAUAAUAACUUGAAACAACAUAUGUUGGAAAUUUCUAUUAAAAAAAACCUUGAGUAUAAUGAUAGUAUGGAUAAUCUAGCUCGUUUAUUCAUGUCUAAUUUUACAGGAAAAGUUAAAUACGGAGGGAGAGGAUACUCUGUACUUUUUUUUAAUUAUACUAAAAAUAAUAACUCAAACUCUCCAGCUAAUGCUGACGCAAAAAUUUUAACAUGUCAAUAUGAGAAUUAUAGGGAACAAUGUGUUGUAAAAUAUGAAAACACAUUUUCAACAAUUAAUAUAGAUACAAAACAACAAAAUGAUAUGAUUAAAAGCAUAUUUAAGCUAUCAGAAUUAUACACUACACAUAUUAAUACCAAAAACGAUAGUUUCAAAUCAGGUUACUUGGUAUACUUUAUAAACUAUGUUUACGAUACUGACAAUGACGAAGUUGUCCUAAAUAUAAUAAACAUUAUAUGUGCAAGUAAAACUGAAAAUAACAAAUGUAAAAUGUUAUAUCCUUUUCCACUCCAAAAAGGAUGGUAUCCAGAUUUGUGUAAAAAUCUUAAGAAUAUAAAUAUCCCCAUACCAAAUGAUUGUUCUUCAUCUGCAAGUACAUUUAUAACUUAUGACCAAUGGUUAGACAAAAAACCCAGCGUGCUAAAUACACAGUACGUGUCAAAAUAUUUUGAUUAUAUCUAUAAAUAUAUAACACAAUUUCCAAUACCAGAUAUUAUAACAAAACUUUGUAAUGUAAUAAACAUAAAUAUGCAAGUAUGUUUAAAUAUGUAUAUCGAUGUUACAGCUAAUUUAUUAAAAACUGAUGAUGACGAAUAUGAAAAUCUUAUAAACGAAUGUAUCAAAUCUUAUGAAGAAAAAAAAAAGGAAAAAUAUCCAAUUGGUCGUACAGAACCGAAUAAAAAACAGAAAGGAUCUUAUAAUAAGAAAAAUAUGCAAAACGAUAAAAUUGAUCGUACAAAACUGAAUAAAAAACAGGAAAAUAACAACAAUAAUUAUGUCACCACUCGUGAUGUUAUACUACAAGAACUUAAAAAAAGUGUGAUUGAACGAAAUUUACCAACAUGUAUUAAUUCUUUGAUCAAACUAAAAUCCACUUCUAGAAAUAUUCCUAUCGAAUUAGACUCUAGUUCAACAUUUUCUAAUUUAAUUUAUGGUGUAUUUUUACUGAUACUUACAAUUUAUAUGUUUUAAUAAUUAUAGUUAAGUUAUAAUUUUUAAAAUACUAUAAUCGUUUGUUUCAUUUAUGCAUACAUAUUCAAUUAUGUAUAUACAUUUUUAUUCUGUCUGAAAAAAAUUAAUAAUACAUAGUUUAUUAAAGCCACAGCAAAAUUUAAUACCAC
ensembl:lncRNA